UACGGAGGGUGCAAGCGUUAAUCGGAAUUACUGGGCGUAAAGCGUGCGUAGGCGGUUCGUUAAGUCUGUUGUGAAAGCCCCGGCUCAACCUGUGAAUGGCAAUGGAUACUGGCGAGCUAGAGUGUGUCAGAGGAUGGUGGAAUUCCCGUGUAGCGGUGAAAUGCGUAGAGAUCGGGAGGAACAUCAGUGGCGAAAGGCGGCCAUCUGGGACAACACUGACGCUGAGGCACGAAAGCGUGGGAAGCAAACAGGGAUUAAGAAA
rnacentral:rRNA from 1 species